CCUACGGGGGGCAGCAGUGAGGAAUAUUGGUCAAUGGACGCAAGUCUGAACCAGCCAUGCCGCGUGCAGGAAGACGGCUCUAUGAGUUGUAAACUGCUUUUGUACGAGGGUAAACGCAGAUACGCGUAUCUGUCUGAAAGUAUCGUACGAAUAAGGAUCGGCUAACUCCGUGCCAGCAGCCGCGGUAAUACGGAGGAUUCAAGCGUUAUCCGGAUUGGUUGGGUUUAAAGGGUGCGUAGGCGGUCGGAUAAGUUAGAGGUGAAAUCCCGAGGCUCAACUUCGGAAUUGCCUCUGAUACUGUUAGGCUAGAGAGUAGUUGCGGUAGGCGGAAUGUAUGGUGUAGCGGUGAAAUGCUUAGAGAUCAUACAGAACACCGAUUGCGAAGGCAGCUUACCAAGCUACUUCUGACGUUGAGGCACGAAAGCGUGGGGAGCAAACAGGAUUAGAUACCCCUGUAGUC
rnacentral:rRNA from 1 species